rnacentral:rRNA from 1 species
GGAGCAACGCCGCGUGAACGAUGAAGGUCUUCGGAUCGUAAAGUUCUGUUGUUAGGGAAGAACAAGUACCGUGCGAAUAGAGCGGUACCUUGACGGUACCUAACGAGGAAGCCCCGGCUAACUACGUGCCAGCAGCCGCGGUAAUACGUAGGGGGCAAGCGUUGUCCGGAAUUAUUGGGCGUAAAGCGCGCGCAGGCGGUUCCUUAAGUCUGAUGUGAAAGCCCACGGCUCAACCGUGGAGGGUCAUUGGAAACUGGGGAACUUGAGGACAGAAGAGGAGAGUGGAAUUCCACGUGUAGCGGUGAAAUGCGUAGAUAUGUGGAGGAACACCAGUGGCGAAGGCGACUCUCUGGUCUGUUUCUGACGCUGAGGUGCGAAAGCGUGGGUAGCAAACAGGAUUAGAUACCCUGGUAGUCCACGCCGUAAACGAUGAGUGCUAGGUGUUAGGGGGCUUCCACCCCUUAGUGCUGAAGUUAACGC